rnacentral:rRNA from 1 species
GAUGAACGCUGGCGGCGUGCCUAAUACAUGCAAGUCGAGCGAACGGACGAGAAGCUUGCUUCUCUGAUGUUAGCGGCGGACGGGUGAGUAACACGUGGAUAACCUACCUAUAAGACUGGGAUAACUUCGGGAAACCGGAGCUAAUACCGGAUAAUAUUUUGAACCGCAUGGUUCAAAAGUGAAAGACGGUCUUGCUGUCACUUAUAGAUGGAUCCGCGCUGCAUUAGCUAGUUGGUAAGGUAACGGCUUACCAAGGCAACGAUGCAUAGCCGACCUGAGAGGGGGAUCGGCCACACUGGAACUGAGAACCGUUCCAGAUCCCUACGGGAGGCAGCAGUAGGGAAUCUUCCGCAAUGGGGGAAAGCCUGACGGAGCAACGCCGCGGGAGUGAUGAAGGUCUUCGGAUCGUAAAACCUUUUUAUUAGGGAAGAAAAUAUGUGUAAGUAACGGUGCAAAUUUUGCCGGGACCAAACCAGAAAGCCACGGCCAACUACGU